rnacentral:rRNA from 1 species
UACGGAGGGGGCUAGCGUUGUUCGGAAUUACUGGGCGUAAAGCGCGUGUAGGCGGCUCGAUAAGUCUGCUGUGAAAGUCCAGGGCUCAACCCUGGGAUGCCGGUGGAUACUGUCGAGCUCGAGUCCGGAAGAGGCGAGUGGAAUUCCUGGUGUAGCGGUGAAAUGCGCAGAUAUCAGGAGGAACACCAAUGGCGAAGGCAGCUCGCUGGGACGUGACUGACGCUGAGACGCGAAAGCGUGGGGAGCAAACAGG